UUGAGUUGCGGGGAUCCGGGACACUUCCACAAUGCCCUGUGAUGGAGCUGGGAACGGUGGUCCGGAUCUCCGACCCUCCGCAGGCUACCUCCGAUCGGGCCGGAGCGUACCGGAUACUGAUGCAUCAUCUGCAGUAAUCCAAGCAAUGAGAGGAUGGAACAUACAACAUGCAUCUUGCAGAUGGAAUGAUAUUGGCUGGUAGUGAAAUGGAACACAGAUGACUUCUGUCACAUGGAAGAAGAAACUGGGAGACAUAGCUCGGCGUGCCAUGCACCUGGUGUAUCAAACACAUAAUGUGGCCUCCUUGUCUUUGUCACCGGUAUUUUUGGGGCCAAUCAGCUGGAAUAAAUGCCAAGUACUCUGGUGUUUGUUACCACAGGGAAAUCUUAUUUUGUCAGUUGUGAGACUGUCAAAGCGCUCUGCUCAUGUGAGAGAUUUACUUGUCUGGAGAGUGUAUGGCUGUCCUCAGCCUCCCAGCUAUUGUCAGCUACAUGUGGAGACAAGCAGCGGUUUGGAACCUCUUGCACAUUUGCAUGUGCCUCUAGUUGUUUGCAAUAGUGACGGUGUAAGGAGAGACACCCUUUCUCUUUUUUACUCCCCUUUUUACUCCCCCCUCUUCCUUCGCAAAUCCCACAUCAGUCCAUCUGGUUUAUGUUUGUUUGCCUAUGUCUGAGCCAUAGCCGCUUUUCAAACUCUUGCUUCUGGCUGCAUUGGGGUCCAGAUGGCUACUCACACACUCUUUUGGUACACUCCAUGGGUCAUCUGUGAUGAGGAAGCCCUACCCAAGACUGUGAUCCAUUAGUGUCCAGUGGUUAAGCAUUGAACAAGUAUGCUUCUCUACAGUCCCAAAGAGAGAUAGACAGCCAGCCCAAAUUCAGCCAUGGAUGGCCAGCGGGGACUUAUUUUAAGACCGAAUUUACCUUCUUAAAAUGCCGGACCUAGUUUGUAGGGAUAGUACUCCAUAAAUGAAAAUUCAGUCAUUAUUUAUUUAUUCUGUAAAUGAAUGCUGACAAAUAUUAUUUUCAUUUUUGCAUGAAUAUUCCCUUUAAAGCAAAAGCUUUGCUUGUGCUUCAAUGGUAAACGGUGGAUAAUUUGAAAAUGAAUGAGUCAAAUGUUGGCAUGGCCACUUCAAAAACAGCAGAGCACAAGAUAACACAUUAUUGGCUGACAAAGAAAUGGACUUCAGUGGAAUAUCUGCAUGUAACUUUGUGUACUGCAGACAAACCAGCAAUGGCUACAUAACCACCACAUGCAAAUGUAUAUUUCUAGAAUCCUUCUGUAGUUGUAAUCUCUUGUAAGGUUUCACAGUAAAUUUUCAAUGUAAACAGCUGAAAUGUAAGUAGGCUGCUUUGUAAUAUACAAUUUUUGGCCAUAAAAACAAAUUUGUGGUUGAUGUAAGCUUUAUUUACUGGUUGAUUUCUGUUCACCAUCUAUAAUGUUUCAGAUUCCUGGUCGAUGAAGUACAACAAAUCCAAUCAUUUCCAUCAUUUGUUCAUUGAGGAUCAUCAUUAUGCUUAAUUGUAAUUUUGAAUGUUGACAUCAUCCCACAAACUGCUGGCAGACAACAAUA